CAGUAGCCACGGUAAUACGAGGGGUGCAAGCGUUAUUCGGAUUGAUUGGGUGUAAAGGGUGUGCAGACGGCUUAUUAAGUCACUUGUUAAAUUCUUCGGCCUAACUGAAGGUCUGCAAGUGAUACUGAUGAGCUAGAGGGUGGAAGAGAGAAGUGGAAUUCUCGGAGUAGCGGUAAAAUGCGUAGAUCUCGAGAGGAACACCAAUGGCGAAGGCAGCUUCUUGGUCCAUUCCUGACGUCCAUACACGAAAGCGUGGGGAGCAAACAGGAUUAGAUACCCCCGUAGUCCCUGUCUCUUAUAC
rnacentral:rRNA from 1 species